UAUUUACAAGAAUUGUAAAUUAUUAGUAAAAUAAUUAUUCUAGAUUAUUAAUAAGAAAUUUUGUUAAUAGAUAAUCUAAAUUAUAAUUAAAAAAACAAAAAUAAUAAUAAAAAGAAAGAAAAAAAAACCAUCAGGUAAUCAUCACGUGGUAGAGUAGUAAUUGAUUCAUAUUACUUACAAAAAAAAUUGAUUGUAAACUAUUAGUAAAAACUAUCAUUAGUAAAUUAUAAGAAAAAUAAAAAAUAUAUUAGCAGAUAAUCUAAAAACGAUAAAAAAAUAAAUAAAAGAAGAACGAUAUAGAAAAACAAACCAUCAGAUGAUCAUCAUGUGGUUUUGGGAAAAUAUAAAGUAGAAAAACAUUUUUACAGGAAACAUUGGGACUUUAUAAUCCUCGGUGAGAGAAUUUAAUUAAAUAAUUUUUACAAGAAAAAAUAAAAAGAAACCGCCAUCAGAAAUCAUCAUAUGACCAAAAGAUUAAAUUAAAAGAUGUAGAAAGAAUAAAAA
rnacentral:lncRNA from 1 species